AUGGUAUCUGGGACUACAGGGGACGGCAAAACAGAACAGAAAGGCGGAGAUAAAAAGAGAGGUGUUAAAAGACCAGGAGAAGAUCAUGGCGGUGGAAAUUUUGAGUACACUGAAGAGAACAAGUAUAGCAGAGCCAAAUCUCCUCAGCCACCUGUUGAAGAGGAACACCUGGAUGACACAGUGGUCUGUCUUGAUACUUAUAAUUGUGAUCUGCAUUUUAAAAGAGCAAGAGAUCGUCUCAGUGUUUCUUCCCUUACAAUGGAGAGUUUUGCCUUUCUUUGGGCUGGAGGAAGAGCACCUUAUGGUGUGUCAAAAGGCAAAGUGGGUUUUGAGAUGAAGGUUACAGAAAAGAUCCCAGUAAGGCAUUUAUACACAAAAGAUACUGACAUACAUGAAGUUCGUAUUGGCUGCUCACUAACUACAAGUGGAAUGUUACUUGGUGAAGAAGAAUUUUCUUACGGAUAUUCUCUAAAAGGAAUAAAAACAUGCAACUGUGAGACUGAAGAUUAUGGAGAAAAGUUUGAUGAAAAUGAUGUGAUGACAUGUUUUGCUAACUUUGAGUGACGAAGUAGAACUCUCCUACACUAAGAAUGGACAGGAUCUUGGCAUCGCCUUCAAAAUCAGUAAAGAAGUUCUUGCUGGAAGGCAACUCUUUAGCAUGUUCUCUGCCACAACUGUGCAGUUGAAUUUAAUUUUGGUCAGAAGGAAAAGCUGUAUUUUCUAAUACCUGAAGAGUAUACUUUUAUUCAGAAUGUCCCCUUAGAGGAUCGAGUUAAGAGGACCAAAGGGGCCUGAAGAGAAAGAUUGUGAAGUUGUGAUGAUGGUUGGCUUGCCAGGAGCUGGAAAAAGUACCUGGGUUACUAAGCAUGCAGCAGAAAAUCCAGGGAAAUACAACAUUCUUGGAACAAAUACUACUACGGAUAAAAUCGUGGUGGCAGGUUUUAAGAAGCAAAUGGCAGACACUGGAAAACUGAACACACUGUUGCAGAAAGCCCCACAGUGUCUUGGGAAAUUUAUUGAGAUUGCUGCCGGAAAGAAGCGAAAUUUUAUUCUGGACCAGACAAAUGUGUCUGCUGCUGCCCAGAGGAGAAAAAUGUGCCUGUUUGCAGGCUUCUGGCGAAAAGCCGUUGUAGUUUCAUCAAAAGAUGAAGACUAGAAGCAAAGAACACAGAAGAAAGCAGAAGUGGAGGGGAAAGACCUACCAGAACAUGCAGUCCUCAAAAUGAAAGGAAACUUUACCCUCCCAGAGGUAGCUGGUGCUUUGAUGAAAUAACCUAUGUCGAACUUCAGAAAGAAGCUUUUGGAGCAAUAUAAGGAAGAAAGCAAAAAGGCUCUUCCACCAGAAAAGAAAAAGAACACCGGCUCAAAGAAGAGCAAUAAAAAUAAGAGUUGCAAGAAUCAGUUUAACAGAGGUGGUGGCCAUAGAGGAUGUGGAGGAUUCAAUAUGCGGGGUGGAAACUUCAGAGGAGGAGCCCCUGGGAAUCAUGGCGGAUAUAAUAGUAGGGGCAAGGUGCCACAGAGAGGUGGCAGUGGCAGUAGAAGUGGUGGAAUCGGCUAUCCAUACCCUCCGUGCUCCUGUUUUUCCUGGCCGUGGUAGUUAUUCAAACAAAGGGAACUACCACAGAGGUGGAAUGCCCAACAGAGGGAACUACAACCAGAACUUCAGAGGAUGAGGAAACAAUCAUGGCUACAAAAGUCAAUCUCAGGGCUACAACCAGUGGUAGCAGGGUCAAUUCUGGGGUCAGAAGCCAUAGAGUCAGCAUUAUCACCAAGGAUAUUAUUGAACACCCAAAUAAAAU